rnacentral:rRNA from 1 species
UACAGAGGGCCCAAGCGUUGUUCGGAUUCACUGGGCGUAAAGGGUGUGUAGGUGGCGCCGUAAGUCGGGCGUGAAAUCUCGGGGCUUAACUCCGAAACUGCAUUCGAUACUGCGGUGCUUGAGGACUGGAGAGGAGACUGGAAUUCAUGGUGUAGCAGUGAAAUGCGUAGAGAUCAUGAGGAAGACCAGUGGCGAAGGCGGGUCUCUGGACAGUUCCUGACACUGAGACACGAAGGCCAGGGGAGCAAACGGG